UAAUAGCUCACUGGUCGAGUCGGCCUGCGCGGAAGAUGUAACGGGGCUAAACCAUGCACCGAAGCUGCGGCAGCGACGCUUAUGCGUUGUUGGGUAGGGGAGCGUUCUGUAAGCCUGUGAAGGUGUGCUGUGAGGCAUGCUGGAGGUAUCAGAAGUGCGAAUGCUGACAUAAGUAACGAUAAAGCGGGUGAAAAGCCCGCUCGCCGGAAGACCAAGGGUUCCUGUCCAACGUUAAUCGGGGCAGGGUGAGUCGACCCCUAAGGCGAGGCCGAAAGGCGUAGUCGAUGGGAAACAGGUUAAUAUUCCUGUACUUGGUGUUACUGCGAAGGGGGGACGGAGAAGGCUAUGUUGGCCGGGCGACGGUUGUCCCGGUUUAAGCGUGUAGGCUGGUUUUCCAGGCAAAUCCGGAAAACCAAGGCUGAGGCGUGAUGACGAGGCACUACGGUGCUGAAGCAACAAAUGCCCUGCUUCCAGGAAAAGCCUCUAAGCAUCAGGUAACAUCAAAUCGUACCCCAAACCGACACAGGUGGUCAGGUAGAGAAUACCAAGGCGCUUGAGAGAACUCGGGUGAAGGAACUAGGCAAAAUGGUGCCGUAACUUCGGGAGAAGGCACGCUGAUAUGUAGGUGAAGCGACUAGCUCGUGGAGCUGAAAUCAGUCGAAGAUACCAGCUGGCUGCAACUGUUUAUUAAAAACACAGCACUGUGCAAACACGAAAGUGGACGUAUACGGUGUGACGCCUGCCCGGUGCCGGAAGGUUAAUUGAUGGGGUUAGCGGUAACGCGAAGCUCUUGAUCGAAGCCCCGGUAAACGGCGGCCGUAACUAUAACGGUCCUAAGGUAGCGAAAUUCCUUGUCGGGUAAGUUCCGACCUGCACGAAUGGCGUAAUGAUGGCCAGGCUGUCUCCACCCGAGACUCAGUGAAAUUGAACUCGCUGUGAAGAUGCAGUGUACCCGCGGCAAGACGGAAAGACCCCGUGAACCUUUACUAUAGCUUGACACUGAACAUUGAGCCUUGAUGUGUAGGAUAGGUGGGAGGCUUUGAAGUGUGGACGCCAGUCUGCAUGGAGCCGACCUUGAAAUACCACCCUUUAAUGUUUGAUGUUCUAACGU
rnacentral:rRNA from 1 species